rnacentral:rRNA from 1 species
GGUUAAGUUAAUAAGGGCGCACGGUGGAUGCCUUGGCACUAGGAGCCGAAGAAGGACGGCACUAACACCGAUAUGCCUCGGGGAGCUGUAAGUGAGCUGUGAUCCGGGGAUUUCCGAAUGGGGAAACCCACUGUUCGUAAUGGAGCAGUAUCCAUGUGUGAAUACAUAGCACAUGAGAAGGCAGACUCAGGGAACUGAAACAUCUAAGUACCUGAAGGAAGAGAAAGCAAAUGCGAUUCCCCAAGUAGCGGCGAGCGAAACGGGAUCAGCCCAAACCAGAAGGCUUGCCUUCUGGGGUUGUAGGACACUCUAUACGGAGUUACAAAGGAAUGGAUUAAGCGAAGCGACCUGGAACGAUCCGCAAGACAGGGUAAUAGCCCCGUAGCUGAAAGUUCAUUCCCUCCAGAGUGGAUCCUGAGUACGGCGGAACACGAGAAAUUCCGUCGGAAUCCGGGAGGACCAUCUCCCAAGGCUAAAUACUCCCUAGUGACCGAUAGUGAACCAGUACCGUGAGGGAAAGGUGAAAAGCACCCCGGAAGGGGAGUGAAAUAGAUCCUGAAACCGUGUGCCUACAAGUAGUUAGAGCC